rnacentral:rRNA from 1 species
AAAAAAAAUUAGUGUCGCAUGACACAAAUUUAAAAGGCGUUUGGGCGUCACAUAGAGAUGGCUGCGCGGUUCUUGUGUUAUUCGGUGGGAUAAAGGCCUACCAAGACAAUGACGCAUAUCCGAGUUGAGAGAUUUAUCGGCCACAUUGGGCCUGAGACACGCCCCAAACUCUUACGGGAGGGUGCAGUAGGGAAUCUUCCACAAUGGGCGAAAGCCUGAUGGAGCAACGCCGCGUGUGUGAUGAAGGCUUUCGGGUCGUAAACGCACUGUUGUAUGGGAAGAACAGCUAGAAUAGGAAAGGAUUUUAGUUUGACGGUACCAUACCAGAAAGGGAGGGCUAAAUACGUGCCAGCAGCCGCGGUAAUACGUAUGUCCCGAGCGUUAUCCGGAUUUAUUGGGCGUAAAGCGAGCGCAGACGGUUUAUUAAGUCUGAUGGAAAGCCCGGAGCUCAACUCCGGAAUGGCAUGGAAACUGG